AAAUUGAUUAAUUAAUAUUGUUUUAUAGGGUUGUGUGCCUCAAUUAAAGAAAUAUUUGAAAGAUCAUCUCACCAUAAUAAUUGGAAUUGGUAUUGGAGUUGGAAUUGUCCAGAUAUUAGGUCUCAUCUUCUCUAUUGUUUUAUGCUGUGCCAUUCGCAAUGAAGAAGCAGAAGUAUUCAAGGCCUGAAUGCUGGAAAAGUUUCAAAAUUGUGCCAAAAAA